AUUGAACGCUGGCGGCAGGCCUAACACAUGCAAGUCGAACGAGUGGCGGACGGGUGAGUAAUGUCUGGGACACUGCGUGAUGGAGGGGGAUAACCACUGGACACGGUCUCUAAUCCCACAUACUCUGAGAUGUCCACAGAUGGGAUUGGCUAGUGGGGGGGGUAACGGCUCACCAGGGCGACGAUCCCUAGCUGGUCGGAGAGGAUGACCAGCCACACUGGAACUGAGACACGGUCCAGACUCCUACGGGAGGCAGCAGUGGGGAAUAUUGCACAAUGGGCGCAAGCCUGAUGCAGCCAUGCCGCGUGUAUGAAGAAGGCCGUCGGGUUGUAAAGUACUUUCAGCGGGGAGGCGUUACCCGCAGAAGAAGCACCGGCUAACUCCGUGCCAGCAGCCGCGGUAAUAC
rnacentral:rRNA from 1 species